CGUAGGGUGCGAGCGUUAAUCGGAAUUACUGGGCGUAAAGCGUGCGCAGGCGGUUUUGUAAGACAGGCGUGAAAUCCCCGGGCUCAACCUGGGAACUGCGCUUGUGACUGCAAGGCUAGAGUACGGCAGAGGGGGUGGAAUUCCACGUGUAGCAGUGAAAUGCGUAGAGAUGUGGAGGAACACCAAUGGCGAAGGCAGCCCCCUGGGUCGAUACUGACGCUCAUGCACGAAAGCGUGGGUAGCAAACAGGAUUAGAUACCCUGGUAGUCCACGCCUAAACGAUGUCAACUAGGUGUUGGGUGGGUAAAACCAUUUAGUACCGGAGCUAACGCGUGAAGUUGACCGCCUGGGGAGUACGGCCGCAAGGUUA
rnacentral:rRNA from 1 species